rnacentral:lncRNA from 1 species
ACUUCAGGAGGGGAAGAGAGGAAGUGCGCUGGGCAAAGAGGAAACGAUGUCACAGGACACACUUUUGCUGUCUUUGCUGCUGUCGCCUAAGAGGUGGACACAGCUCCCGAGGACUUACGCUAGAAGCCAAGCCAGUCUCCUCACCUGAAAAAUGGGAAGAGCAAAAUAUCCUACCCUAGAGGGUUGCUGUGAGAGCCGAAAGCGUCUAUCCACGUGAAGCACAUGGGACAGAGCCUGGCACAAAGAAAAUGCUUCCCAGGAUGACCCAGGAGAGAGGCACAAAUGUGAUGAGCAAGACAGUCUGAGAUCUCUCUGGAAGUCCUCUACCCCACCCGUGAGUGCUCUGCAGCCAGGAACACAGGUAGAAGAUAGGCAGAAGACCAAUGCCUCAGCCCAGCCUCCCUGGAAGAUGAGGAUCUGUCCCAAACAGUGGGGACACAGGAAUCCCAAGUGGAGCCACUCCCUUCUCCAGGCAAUGGAAAGCCCUGAUGGAGCCCGGUGUAAACUAUGCAGGGUGCCAGAGCCCCCACUGACAGCGCUGGUGUCCACAUGUGGUCACAGGGAUACAGCGGCAGCAUCCCAAAGCCCUAGCCUGGUCCAUCACCCUCAAAACUGCCUCUGGUUUGUCCAAGUCUACCAGGAUUCAAGUUCAUUUCAGAAAAGCAGUGGCCAGAAACCAAGGCCUGGAGGGGGCUGGGGAGGUGUCAGGGAAGGGAUCAGAGGCCAAGCUCUGUGUUUCCUCAGACAAAGAGAGAAAGCAGGCUGAGAGAUGGCGGCAGCAUGUGACACCUGGGCCACAGGCCUGGGCAGCAGCCGUGGCAGCCAAGGGGAUAAUGGCUCUCUUUGUCCUGCGUGUAAAUUCUCCGGAAAAGAAAGGAUUCCAGGGCCUGCUUCUCCGGCUUGCACAAUGCUGGCCGCCUGGGGCCCCACUGCGAGGGCCUGCCAUGGCAUUCGGGGAGCAGUGAGGCCCCUUCUCUGUCUCGUUCCUUCCAGGCGUGCAGAAGCGGAAAGUCAGGCUGCCGUGCCAGACAUUCUGCAGGGGGUUGGGAGGCUGGGCUGAGGCACAGCCUGUGCCAGGAGCUUUGUUUCACAGCCUCGAGGAAACCAAAGCAUCUUGAAGCUCUGAAUUAGAAAGAGUCUUAGAGAGCAUCCAUGCCAGCUCUUCCUAAUACUUGUCCCACCCCCUACCUUCUCUGCCUACCACUCCCCACUCCCCUGCCUUCAGCAGCCAAGAAUGGUUACAAACACAGGCUUUGGAGUCAGAGAGGGCUGAGUUCAAAUGCUGACAAUGCCACUCACAAGCUAUUUCAUCUCUAUGGGCUUCAGUUUCUCCACCUGCAAAAUGGACAUAAUAGCACCUACUCAUAAGAUUGUCAAUAGGAAUAAGUGAGAAAAUGCAUGUACCAUGCUUAAUGUGGACACAGCCUCCAGAAGCGCUCAAUAAGGGUAGACGGUCCAGUAGGUCACCCAGCCUGUACUUGAUUUCCUCCAAGGGCAGGCAAUCACUGCUUGCAUUCCAUUUUCAGACCAAGUUCAAAUCUGUCUCUUAUACCCUCAUGGGUGCUGAGGGUAAAGGGGAGAGGGCCUACAUACAUUAAACAUUUCCUACAUGUUACUGUUGCCAUAAAUUACUCACAGAACUUAAGGGCCUGUCUUAGUCUAUUUGUGUUGCUAUAAAGGAAUACCCGAGGCUGGGUAAUUUAUAAAGACAAGAGGUUUAUUUGGC